rnacentral:sRNA from 1 species
UAAUCCGAUCAGUUCAUCGAUGGUCGGCAAGUAGUUGCC